rnacentral:rRNA from 1 species
UACGGAGGGGGCUAGCGUUGUUCGGAAUUACUGGGCGUAAAGGGCGCGUAGGCGGGAUGGCAAGUCGGUCGUGAAAUCCUUCGGCUCAACCGAAGAACGUCGAUCGAUACUGCGUGUUCUUGAGGGUUGCAGAGGGAGACUGGAAUUCCCGGUGUAGCGGUGAAAUGUGUAGAGAUCGGGAGGAACACCGGUGGCGAAGGCGGGUCUCUGGGCAAUUCCUGACGCUGAGGCGCGAAAGCGUGGGGAGCAAGCGGG